rnacentral:rRNA from 1 species
UACGUAGGGCGCAAGCGUUAUCCGGAAUUAUUGGGCGUAAAGAGCUCGUAGGCGGUUUGUCGCGUCUGCCGUGAAAGUCCGGGGCUCAACUCCGGAUCUGCAGUGGGUACGGGCAGACUAGAGUGUGGUAGGGGAGACUGGAAUUCCUGGUGUAGCGGUGGAAUGCGCAGAUAUCAGGAGGAACACCGAUGGCGAAGGCAGGUCUCUGGGCCACUACUGACGCUGAGAAGCGAAAGCAUGGGGAGCGAACAGG